UACGAAGGUCCCAAGCGUUAUCCGGAUUUAUUGGGUUUAAAGGGUGCGUAGGCGGGCUAUUAAGUCAGUGGUGAAAGCCCCAAGCUUAACUUGGGAACUGCCAUUGAUACUGAUGGUCUUGAGUACAUUUGAGGUGGGCGGAAUGUGUCAUGUAGCGGUGAAAUGCUUAGAUAUGUCACAGAACACCAAUUGCGAAGGCAGCUUACUAAGGUGCAAUUGACGCUGAGGCACGAAAGCGUGGGGAUCAAACAGG
rnacentral:rRNA from 1 species